GAUGAACGCUAGCUACAGGCUUAACACAUGCAAGUCGAGGGGCAGCAUGUCGGUUGCUUGCAACCGACGAUGGCGACCGGCGCACGGGUGAGUAACGCGUAUCCAACCUACCCUUGUCCAUCGGAUAACCCGUCGAAAGGCGGACUAACACGAUAUGCGGUUCUCAGCAGGCAUCUAACGAGAACGAAAUGUGAAGGAGAAGGAUGGGGAUGCGUCUGAUUAGCUUGUUGGCGGGGUAACGGCCCACCAAGGCGACGAUCAGUAGGGGUUCUGAGAGGAAGGUCCCCCACAUUGGAACUGAGACACGGUCCAAACCCCUACGGGAGGCAGCAGUGAGGAAUAUUGGUCAAUGGACGAGAGUCUGAACCAGCCAAGUAGCGUGCAGGAAGACGGCCCUAUGGGUUGUAAACUGCUUUUAUAGGGGGAUAAAGUGUGCCACGUGUGGCAUAUUGCAGGUACCCUAUGAAUAAGGACCGGCUAAUUCCGUGCCAGCCGCCGCCGUAAGAC
rnacentral:rRNA from 1 species